GUUUAACCAAAAGGCAUUUCCAGUGGAAAGUAGCCGACAUAUUCUCAGCAUAACCAUGUAUAAUAUCCACAAAACCUGAGAAGGUUGGAGAGAAGGUAGGUGAACUCUGCUGGGAUCUGCGUUUAACAAAGUGUCUAAAGACGAAACAAAGAAAUCUUUCUGUAAAUGUUCAGAUGCACAGACUGGACUGAAAAAGAGUGAAAAAGCAGCUAACGUCCAAAAAUAAGAAAACUUUGAAAGAACUCCAAAAAAACCUGGAGAACUUUUGCUCAAAAAACAGUUUUGUUUUUUUUAAAUUACAAGGCAAUCUGACAAAAUGUCAUCAAAUGAGACUCAAGACUUCUGCAGGUCUCUGCCAUGACUCAAUUUUUUUUUCUUAACGGCAGAAACAAUUGUUCCUUUUUUACUUUGUUUCUAUUUUCUCUUCUUGUUUUUAUCUGUUGAACAACAAACAACAUUCAUGCUGAUUCACAUAAUAUCCUGUCUCUACUCUCUGGGAUUUCCUCGUAGCUCUUUGAUGCAAAGAACAUCCAUCAAACGCUCCAGCUUGUGCUCAACAUCAUCGUGAACGGUGAAGGUACUCUGACGAGAAAAUACUCAGUCGACCUUUUGGUUGAUUUGUUAAAGAACCCCAAAAUAGCUGAUUACCUAACAAGGUAUCCCCACUUCUCGGCAUGUGUGUCUCAAGUGUUAGGACUGCUGCAUUCGAAAGACCCAGACCCUGCAGCCAAGGUGAGAGACGACAAAUAUGAUAACCCACACCAGCUGUGCUUAACUCUGUAAGUUCCCAGUAUUCCCUGAAACCAUCACGUGUGACACAGUUUACAUCAGACGUGAUGCAGCUGACGUCAACACUGACCUUCUUGUGGUAACAGAGACUUAAAAAAAUAAUAAUAAAGCAACAAAGUGGGUCGCUCUUUGACAGUAAAUUCCAGUGCGGUCCACUCCAAUCUCCUCAGGCUGACUCUCUUCUAGGCUCUCCUGACUGUUCCCUUUACAUGUUGAUGAUGUGUCUUGUAAAUCUGGAUCCCUUUCCAGCAGGACGCUCCUCUUUUUCAGACAGUACCUCAGCUGCUCUCUCUCCUGACAGUCAGCUGUCCACCUCUGCAUGGCCAGUCGAGCCAGCGCCGGCAUUUGAGGCAGAGCUCGGAGCAGAGCGGGCAGCCAGGCUGAGCACGGAGCAGAGGUUGAAGGUCGCAAACUGACAUCCACGUCUUCCAGAGAGCCCAGACCUCCUGCUGCAAACAGACUGCACCAACCGUUGUCUCCCACCAAGCUGUUGUAGGACAGAUCCAGUGCACGGAGUGAGGAGAGACAGCCCCGUCUGCACACGGCAGCUGCACAGAGGAAGAGGACCCAUUGAUAACUGAUCACUUUAUGCCUGUUCACUUUACUGUUUUGUUCACAAUGUUUCUGAUGGAGACAAAAAUAACACCGAAUAGUUUCAUUGUUUUGUUUUAUACGACAGCUACAGAUGCUGGCAGCAUGAAAUAAAUGAAAGAAAUAUCAAUUUC